rnacentral:lncRNA from 1 species
UCCUUUACACUUGGAAUGUCCCUGGAAGGUCAUAUACCAGUUAAACUCCGCCAUUUUGCCUCUUAAUGUGCAUGCUUGAGCCCACUCUCCCAACUCCUGAGAUCUUAUCGGGAAGAUGCUGCUCACCACCUUCAGCAUAAAGGAUUAGACAGAAGCUUCACUUUAUGGUGACGAAAUAAGUACAAAUCUGGUAAGAAAGCACCUUACUCCAGGUUCCACGUUGAUCUCCCAAAAUUCUCAUUGGGAUAGGUGUGAAUUAGCCAAAUGUGGCUGUGAAGCCCACAGCAAGAUUGCCAAGCUAGGCCCAAGAGCCCUUAUCCCACCUGACACAGGACCAGCACAGAGAAAGAUGAAACCCAGUUAAGGAUCUGGAAGAAGUGAGGAGCUCCUCAGAUGAAGAGGAGGGGAAGAGAACCAGUCUAGAUCAACAUGGCAAUUGCUCAGUCUGUCCCGUUUAAUUGAUUUGGUGCCAUUAUUUUGAUAAUUAUUUAUGUACAUAUGGAAGGUUAAAAAUCCACCCCACUUCUAGUGCUUAGUACAUACAAUAUCAGACUAUCAAAAAUGUUUCUUGAAUCUUCCUAGGGUAUAAAAAUAAAUAUUUCCACAUACCAGCGUCGGUAUUGUAUAUGUAUGAUAUGAGUGUGUACAUAUAAAUUUGCACACACGUAUAUUUAAAUAAUAUUUUAUAUUCUCAGCA